rnacentral:rRNA from 1 species
GAUCAACGCUGGCGGCGUGCCUAAAACAUGCAAGUCGGACGGCCACCUUCGGGUGGCAGUGGCGGACGGCUGAGUAAGACGUGGGUGACCUGCCCUUGGGUGGGGGAUAACCCCUCGAAAGGGGGGCUAAGACCGCAUGAGGUUCCUGGAUCGGACUGGGAAGCAAAGCUCUGUGGAGCGCCUGAGGAGGGGCCCGCGGCCGAUUAGCUAGCUGGUGGGGUAACGGCCUACCAGGGCGACGAUCGGUAGCCGGUCUGAGAGGAUGGCCGGCCAGACUGGGACUGAGAGACGGCCCAGACUCCUGCGGGAGGCAGCAGUUAGGAAUUUUGGGCAAUGGGCGCAAGCCUGACCCAGCAACGCCGCGUGGGCGACGAAGCCCUUCGGGGUGUAAAGCCCUUUUCCACGGGACGAUGAUGACGGUACCGUGGGAAGAAGCCCCGGCUAACUACGUGCCAGCCGCCGCGGUAAGAC